UUCUUAUCAAGAGAAGCCGAGGGACUGGCCCGACGACGCUUCAGCAACCAGCCAUUUAGAUGGUCAGGUGCUAAUUCCAGAAGGACUUAUGGUUCUUAAAAGAUAAGAA
rnacentral:ncRNA from 2 species